rnacentral:misc_RNA from 1 species
UCCGGUUUGUCACCGGCAGUCUCUGCAGAGUCCUCGGCUCUACCCGUUAGCAACAGCAGAUAAGGGUUGCGCUCGUUGCGGGACUUAACCCAACAUCUCACGACACGAGCUGACGACAGCCAUGCAGCACCCGUCCUAGAGUCCCGAAGGAGGCCUCCGCUUUCACGGAGGUUUCUCUAAGAUGUCAAGCCCAGGUAAGGUUCUUCGCGUUGCUUCGAAUUAAACCACA